AUGCAGCCCUGCCACAGAGCGCUGCUGUUUAGCCAUUGUUUAAAAUGUCACGUAGUCAAAACGCCCACUUUUCAAAGGUCUCCUCAGGGCAUGACGGGAGGAGAUCAAGUGUCUGGCAGCGAGGACGCAGCUGGGACAGACAGGAGCACGAACACACAGCUACCCGCACUGGGGUAUCGAUGGGCACGCAGCCAGCACUGCCGUCGUGCAGCUCCCCUUCUCGGCAAGGAAGGAUGCCAGGCAUUUGAGAGCAGCCUACGAAGAAAAGAGAGUUCAGAAACUACUUUGGAAAAUGCUUUCUUAACGCCUAGUGCAGUUACAUAGAUUGAAAGGUGAAGUUCUCCCAAACAAAACAGAAAUUUUCAAAAAUGUUUUGAUUCCUCCCUGCCACGAUUCUUGCUUGGAAGCACGAGAGGUGACACAGAAAUCCCAGCUGAUUCAGUUCCUGGCAGUGGUGGUGAAACACACAUCGCACCUGCCCUUUCAUUUCUGCUGAUUCCCGAGUGACUGCCCGUGCCCUUGAGCAGCAGGUACGUGCGGCCCCCAUACCUGGCGCUCUGCUAACGCUCAUCAGUAUUCAUGAUGCACCUCCAACAACAUACUUAGAUGACUAUGGAGAGCCUCGCCUCAAGCCUGCUCUCUCCUGCUAGUCAUAAUGCAGCACCACGAAUAACUUGGCAGUUGGCAGUUCCUCUGCCUAUGCCUCACAAAAAGUUGCCUCUGAUCACAAAACAGGCUCUUCUAUAUGCACUAUAGAAAGGCCAAAGAUAUUAUGGUUG
rnacentral:lncRNA from 1 species